rnacentral:rRNA from 1 species
AUGGCGUACCCGUAUGUCUUCCACGCGCAGGCGCCACCGGCCAGAGCGGAGGAGUACAAGUCCAAGGGCGCAAUGCCGCAGCCACAGGUCAGGCCCCAGUGGCCUGCCGGCAGCGGCAGCGGUGCCGGGCGUGGGCGUGGCGGCGGCGGAGCCGGGUGGAUGGGUCUUGGCUCCCGGGAGAGGCCGCUCGCGAGUGCUUAUGAUCUCGUGGAGCAGAUGCAUUACCUGUACGUGCGCGUCGUCAAGGCGCGCGGGAUCCCCGUGGGCGCGGUCACCGGCGGCUGCAGCCCCUACGUCGAGGUGCGCCUCGGCAACUACCGCGGCACGACGCCGCACCAGGAGAGGAAGUCGAAUCCAGAGUGGAACCAGGUGUUCGCCUUCUCCAGGGAGCGCGUCCAGGCCACGGCCCUCGAGGUGUUCGUCAGGGACAGGGACGCCGUGGCGCGCGACGACUACGUCGGCAGGAUCGCGUUCGACAUCAGCGAGGUGCCGCUGCGCGUGCCGCCCGACAGCCCGCUCGCGCCGCAGUGGUACCGCCUCGAGAGCGUGCGCCACGGCGGCAAGAUGCUGCUGCCGACCGAGGUCAUGCUCGCGGUGUGGGUCGGCACGCAGGCCGACGAGGCGUUCGGGGACGCAUGGCACGCCGACGCGGCGUCGGUGCGCGGUGGCGCUGAUGGUGCGGCCGCGGUGCAGAGCACGCGGUCCAAGGUGUACGUGACGCCGAAGCUGUGGUACCUCCGGAUAAACGUGCUGGAGGCACAGGACGUCGUGACGGGCGGCUUCGUCGGCGACAAGGUCCGGCAGCAGCACGUCGAGGUCUUCGCCAAGGUGCAAGUCGGCGGCAUGAUGCUCCGGACCAAGCCGUGCGCCAUGAGGAAUCCGACAAGCCUGGCGUGGAACGAGGAGCUGGUCUUCGUUGUGGCGGAGCCGUUCGAGGAUCCGGCGGUGCUCAUCGUCGAGGCCCGGGCGCACCCCGGCAAGGACGAGAUCGUCGGGCGUGCCGUGCUGCCGCUCACCAUCUUCGAGAAGCGCCUCGACCGCGUGGCGAUCCACUCGCAGUGGUUCAGCCUGGAGCCGUUCGGGCAUCCGUUGCGCCGGCCGGAAGCCACUUUCGCCGGCCGCGUCCACCUCCGGGCGUGCCUCGAGGGCGCGUACCACGUCAUGGACGAGCCGACCAUGUACGUCAGCGACACGCGCCCGACGGCGCGGCAGCUGUGGCGGCCGCCCGUCGGCGUGCUCGAGGUCGGCGUCCUCGGCGCGCAGGGGCUCACUCCCAUGAAGACCGCCGACGGGCGGGGCACCACCGACGCCUACUGCGUGGCCAAGUACGGGCAGAAGUGGGUGCGCACGCGCACCGUCGUCGACUCGUGCAGCCCCCGGUGGAACGAGCAGUACACGUGGGAGGUCUACGACCCCUGCACGGUGCUCACGCUCGCCAUGUUCGACAACUGCCACCUCGGCAAAGCCAAUGCCGCCGCCGGCAACGCCGUCCUCAGAGACCAGGUGAUGGGCAAGGUGAGGAUACGCCUCUCCACGCUGGAGAUGGACAAGGUGUACACCAACGCGCACCCGCUCGUCGUGCUGCACCCGUCCGGCGUGCGCAAGAACGGCGAGCUCUGCCUCGCCGUGCGCCUCACCUCCGUCUCUCUCGCCAGCGUCGUGUGCCUGUACGGGAAGCCCCUCCUCCCCAAGAUGCACUACGUCCAGCCGUUCGCCAUCCCGCAGCUCGACGCGCUCCGGCGCCAGGCGAUGAGCAUCGUGGCGGCGCGGCUGAGCCGGGCCGAGCCGCCGCUGCGGCGGGAGGUCGUGGAGUACAUGCUGGACGCGGGCUCGCACCUGUGGAGCAUGCGGCGGAGCAAGGCCAACUUCCUCCGGGUCACGGCGCUGCUGUCCGGCGCGGCCAGCAUGGCGCGGUGGCUCGUGGACGUGUGCCACUGGAGGAACCCGGUCACCACCGUGCUGGUGCACUUGCUCUUCGUCACGCUCAUGUGCUUCCCAGAGCUCAUCCUCCCGACCGUGUUCCUGUACAUGGCCAUGACCGGCCUCUGGAACUACCGGCGCCGGCCCCGCCGGCCGUCGAGCAUGGACGCGAGGCUCUCCUGCGCGGAGGCGACCCACCCUGACGAGAUCGACGAGGAGCUGGACACGUUCCCGACGUCGAAGCCGAACGACGUGGUGCGGCUGCGGUACGACCGGCUGCGGAGCGUGGCCGGGCGGAUCCAGACGGUGGUCGGCGACGUGGCGACGCAGGGGGAGAGGGUGCGGUCGCUGCUGGCGUGGAGGGACCCGAGGGCGACGGCGCUGUUCACGGCGCUCUGCCUCGUCGCCGCCGUGACGCUGUACGUCACGCCGCUCCGGGGCGUGGCGCUCGUCGCCGGGCUGUACGCGCUCCGCCACCCGCGGUUCCGGAGCCGGACGCCGUCGGCCGCCGGCAACUUCUUCAAGAGGCUGCCCUCCAGGGCCGACACCAUGCUGUAG